CUACAUAGGUAUUCAGAGAGGGAGGUUUACAUAGAUUUACAUAGAUAUUCACAGAGGGAGGCUAACAUAGAUUUACAUAGAUACUGAGACCACCAGAAAGAGAGGCUUACAUAGAUUUACAUAGAUAUUACGACCACCGGAGAGGGAGGUCUACAUAGAUUUACAUAGGUAUUCAGAGAGGGAGGUUUACAUAGAUUUACAUAGAUAUUGAGACCACCAGAAAGAGAGGCUUACAUAGAUUUACAUAGAUAUUGCGACCACCGGAGAGGGAGGUCUACAUAGAUUUACAUAGGUAUUCAGAGAGGGAGGUUUACAUAGAUUUACAUAGAUAUUGAGACCACCAGAAAGAGAGGCUUACAUAGAUUUACAUAGAUAUUGCGACCACCGGAGAGGGAGGUCUACAUAGAUUUACAUAGGUAUUCAGAGAGGGAGGUUUACAUAGAUUUCCAUAGAUAUUCAGACCACCAGAGAGAGAAGAGGUUGUGUUACGUAUAUAUGUUGAAUUUAGACAGCAGUAGAUAUGUAGCCAGGGAUGGAGUUAAUACAUGCAAGAGGUUUAAGUCUUAUAUACGUGUACGAAUUUGAAUACACAAUACACAAUACGAAUACGACUUUGAUUGAUUGAUUUAUACGUUUAUUGUUGAUUUUCGAAGCAAAGGCCGGAGCUGCCGUAUAUCCCUUCCAAAGGCUGGGGGAAGGUUCAGUUAAGAGACAGCACUGUGCGUAUUGCCUGGGGGUUGGGAUGGCAUGUUCCUCGUGUCUCCUGUGUUGUUUACUUGCAAUAAUAAACUAUCAGUCAAUCAGUCAAGUGUUUACUGUAAAUACCUGUAGUAAUUCAACACGUCAAACAUUUAGUCACACGGUACAGGUGUAUGAAAUUUGCAAGCUCACCUUUAAUUAAAUCACCCCUUCCUGUAAUCACGAUCAAUACAUCAUGUAAUGCUAAUCGAUUACACCAAAUUUUAUUCUAACCUUAAUCGUAAUCGUGAAAAUAUGAAGUAAUCUUAAUCCAUUACAUAACAUAAGUAAUCGCCCGUUGUCUGAUACAGAUAUGCGUACUUCUCACUGACAAACACUUAUAUAUACUUAACGUAACUGUGUUCUAUAGCAGUGUUCAAAAGUUAUGCAAGAGUAUAACAACAUAGAUAACAGGAGCCGUGAACUUGUGCUGUACAGGGCCACCACGCGUCCUCGGGAAGGUUAGACUUAAUUGUAGAAACAGCGUCUGGUACUAAUUAAAGGACCAGUAAUUAAUUAAGUAGCGGGCUUUAUUUUCGUUAUUGUUUUCUUUUUUUUACGCCCUUAAUGCACUGUCUCCUCUGCUAUAAAAACAACAACAACUUAGAGUGAUACAUUUUGAAGUGUUCGUUGGGUUAUGCGCACUACACGGGCGCUUCUACCUUGUGUUCAGAUACCAGUUAGAACAUUUUCAUUUACAGAGAGAAUUAUUACUUUACGAAUACACGAAUAUACUGUAUUUGAAUGUAUUUGAAUGCAUGAAUAUCGAAUGCAAGUACUCCAUCCCUGGUUGUAGUGGUUGUGGUUGUAGUAGUAGUAGUAGUAAUAGUAGUAGUAGUAAUAGUAGUAGUAGUAGUAGUAGUAGUAGUAGUACAAUAUACGUCUACCACUACUAAUACUAAUACUACACACACACACACACACACACACACACACACACACAC